UUUGAAGGGCCGCAGUAUUUUGACUGUGCAAAGGUAGCAUAAUCAUUAGUCUUUUAAUUGAAGGCUGGUAUGAAUGGUUGGAUGAGGUGAAUUCUGUUUUAUGUUAAUUGAAAUUGAAUUUAGAUUUUAAGUAAAAAGACUUAAAUAAUAUUAAGGGACGAGAAGACCCUAUAGAGUUUAAUAUAUGUAAUAAUUAAUUGAGUUAGGAAGCUUAAUUUUUGAUUUUUAUGAAGUUUAUUUAAUUGGGGUGAUUAGAAGAUAAAAUUAACUCUUUUUUGUAUUUAAUAGUAUAAUUAGUUUUAUGAUCCAUAUUUGAUGAUUAAAAGAUUAAAUUACCUUAGGGAUAACAGCAUAAUUCUUUUUGAGAGUUCAUAUUGAAAAAAGAGAUUGUGACCUCGAUGUUGGAUUAAGAUUAGUUAUGGGUGCAGAUGUUCAUUAACUAGGUCUGUUCGACCUUGAAAAUCUUACAUG
rnacentral:rRNA from 1 species